GGUUGACCUCGGAUCAGGUAGGGAUACCCGCUGAACUUAAGCAUAUCAAUAAAGCGGAGGAAAA
rnacentral:rRNA from 1 species